rnacentral:rRNA from 1 species
UUUGUCCACUAAUUAUGGACCUGUAUGAAAGGCCACAUGAGAAUCUAACUGUCUCUUGUAACUAAUUUAUAAAACUGAUCUUCUAGUUCAAAAGCUAGAAUAUUACUAUAAGACGAGAAGACCCUGUGAAGCUUAAAAAAUCCCAUUAAACCAAUUAAUGGGUAUUUUUAGUUGGGGCAACUUUGGAAAACAAUUCAACUUCCAAAAGAAGAACACCAAUCAAGACCAACACGUCAACCAAGACCCAGUAUAACUGACAAAUGAACCAAGUUACUCCAGGGAUAACAGCGCAAUCUUCUUCAAGAGCCCAUAUCAAAAAGAAGGUUUACGACCUCGAUGUUGGAUCAGGACACCCAAAUGGCGCAGCCGGUAUUAAAGGUUCGUUUGUUCAACCAUUAACAGU